GGUCAAUGAUGACUUAUAUCCAAAUCUGAUGUUCUGAUGAACCAUACGGAUCUGACUGCUGAGAU